AUGGUGUUCUUGCGCCCGGUGGCCACGGGACACACGUGUGCUAUGGUGCAACCCUGGUGCGGCGGUGGCUUCAUCCACCGCGUGAUGGCGGUGGAUGACUGCCCCGCAACCCUGGUGGCGGCUGUCCAUGGCAUCGUCUACAAAAUCUUCAGGUUCUCAAGGGGGUUAUGUUUAGGACAGCCACAGAGCACAAAGAACAAACAUGCUCCUUCUGCAAGAGGGCGAUGUGCAUUACGCUCUUCAAGGGACCAUGCCGAUGUAAAGCAGCAGCGGCCUUUGGAAUGCAUCCAGGGAAGUUUGAGAAUGUCAGGAAGGAGGCCACCAUGCCGAGUGGAGGAGCAGCCAUCACGCCUGGAUCUACGAGGCCUGAAUGUGUGA
rnacentral:rRNA from 1 species